UCGUGCACAAGGGUAAUGAGCCCAUGAUUAUUCUGUAUAUCCAUCAACAGCUUCUAAUACCGAUGACCAUGAUCUACUACCCUGUGGAUAUUUGCUAGAGUUGUCAGAAUGGACCUUCAAUGGAAUUGCUCCUUCCUCUUCAAAAUAUGCUAAAGGAGUAGUGCUGGGUCAACUGCUCAUCAUCCUUGAGGGCUCUUGCAGAUUCUACAAUCUCAUUACACUCCCAUUGUGUAACUGAGAUAGGGAUCCUAAUGUAAGCAAACAGGCUACCUCUCAACCCAGUUUCAGAUAAAAUAAAUCCGAUGGGGAAAUAGGCAUCCACUUCAACUGAGUUUGUUUUGGCAUUGCAUUCAACAAAAGAAGCAGCAUGAUUUAAUGAAGGAGCUGAAUGAAGACUGAUUGUGUUGUGUCCAAGGAGCAGAGGAGUUCCAGGCAAAAGGGGAAGCAUGGAAGAAACCAUGAAAAUAAGUGGGAAAAGGACAUGAUGAGAAGCUUUGGCAGAAUAAAAUGAUUGAGGUGGAAGAGUAGGAAUAACUGAAAUCAAAGUCCUUUGGUAAGAGAAUAAACUGAAACAAAUUAGA